GAUGAACGCUGGCGGCGUGCCUAAUACAUGCAAGUCGAACGAGGUGCCUCUGUAGCAAUACGAGGGUAUCCUAGUGGCGAACGGGUGAGUAACGCGUUGGUGACCUGCCCCGAAGUGUGGGAUAACAGUCCGAAAGGACUGCUAAUACCGCAUGCGGUCAUCGGGUUUAGAAGCCGAUGACCAAAGCAGCAAUGCGCUUUGGGAGGGACCUGCGUCCCAUCAGCUAGUUGGUAGGGUAACGGCCUACCAAGGCUACGACGGGUAGGGGACCUGAGAGGGUGACCCCCCACAAUGGAACUGAAAUACGGUCCAUACACCUACGGGUGGCAGCAGUAGGGAAUAUUGCACAAUGGGCGAAAGCCUGAUGCAGCAACGCCGCGUGCACGAUGAAGGUCUUCGGAUCGUAAAGUGCUUUUCUGGGAGAUGAGAAUGGACAGUAUCCCAGGAAUAAGUCUCGGCUAACUACGUGCCAGCCGCCGCCGUAACAC
rnacentral:rRNA from 1 species